GGACCUGACUGCUAUCGGAUUGAUACUAAGCCAUGCGAGUCAUUGUAGCAAUACAAGGCAUACGGCUCAGUAACGCGUAGUCAACCUAACCUAUGGACGGGAAUAACCUCGGGAAACUGAGAAUAAUGCCCGAUAGAACAUUAUGCCUGGAAUGGUUUAUGUUCCAAAUGAUUUAUCGCCGUAGGAUGGGACUGCGGCCUAUCAGUUUGUUGGUGAGGUAAUGGCCCACCAAGACUAUUACAGGUACGGGCUCUGAGAGGAGUAGCCCGGAGAUGGGUACUGAGACGCGGACCCAGGCCCUAUGGGGCGCAGCAGGCGAGAAAACUUUGCAAUGUGCGAAAGCACGACAAGGUUAGUCCGAGUGAUUUCUGCUAAAGAGAUCUUUUGCAAGUUCUAAAACCACUAGUGAAUAAGGGGUGGGCAAGUUCUGGUGU
rnacentral:rRNA from 1 species